UAAUGUUGCCAGGCACUGUCUUCACAGAACAGUGCUUGGCAAACGGUGCCUGGCAAUAUUAAAUACUCAAUAUCUCAGCUAUUUUUAUUGUUCAGACUUCAUUUCCCUAUUUUUUGAGGUUUUAUUCACAUUUUUGAAUUGUAUUGCAAAUAAAAGAAAACCAAGAGCUAUUGGCAUGUGUAAUGGACGGUGGCCUAAUGGCCACCUAUGUCAGGCACACGAGCAAUAUCCACUGAGAACUAAUGCCUUGGUGACCCAAAGGACACUUGUUGGGACAGAAGAAAAAGUCCUCUUGACUUGAAGAACCAACCAGGCCAACCUCUGAUCUCUGAUCUCUCUGAAAUCAGACAGUCGAGGUGCUGGUUCUCUGCACAUCUGCAGAAUAGGGACCAUAAUAAUACCUAUCUCAUGGGGUUACAGUAAAGAUGAAAUGAGAUCAUCUGUGUAAAGCAGUGAGCAUAGUUUCAAGUACCUGCUCUACAUUUGCUGUUGUUCACAGCAUCUGUCCUGGAACAUGAGCUGAUUGUUGAGAGAGGUGUGGUGGGUGUUCAGGGAAAGGUAUCCUCAUAUUUCCUCCAGCCAUCAGGAACCUCAUGGGCAGCUCCACCAGGAGAAGCUCAGCAAGAAAGUGAGAAUGCAAGCUUCUCAUUUUUUUGUUAGAAAUGGUGAUGAGGAGAGCACCUUCCCCUCUCUGCGAGCAUCCGGUGCAGGAAGGCCAACAUCUACAGCUGCAAGAAUGAUCGGGUUGAUGCUGAGGCAAGAGUGAGAAUUAGCAACAGAAGUGGCAAAUUAAGGCCACUGACUGGCAGGCUGGGAAGAGCCAAGAAAUCUGUAUUAAUCACCAAGGACAGAACAUGAGCUCUUUGAGACCCUGCAGGGAGAAAAGAGGCUGAAAGUAUCCACAGUUCUUCUGGAAGGGGGCUCAGAACCAGUGAGUUUUCAUUAGCAUGGCUAUUGCAUCCUAUAACCCUGGAGUGACUCACCCAGACUACAGUGGCCUAAAGAACUCGGUUACACAGAGCACAGAGCCACUGUCCCAGGGAGAGAAGUUAUUUGCUUCCAGGUGCCUCUGUACCUAACUGUUACUGUUCUUUUCCCAGGGUCCCCAAAGAAGAGAAUUCCACCAACUUUUCUUGGCACUCUCUGCCAAUAAUUAGCAAUUUUUUCUUUAUGUUUGUCCUUAUUAAUGCCUAUUCCUGUUCAGCUGUGCUCAUGGAAAGAUAGCCAGCAUGGUUUGCCCUCUCCCAAGCAAGCACAUCUCAGAGUCCAAAUGGCACAGUUGCCUUCAGUUAAUUUUCACUUAGAUCUUAACCUUCUCAGUUUAUUUCCACUUGAACUCUGGAUAUUAAAGUAGAAAUAAUGCUUUGUGACCUUUCAGCGGAACACCAGCUGCUUCUCCACCCUUUCCCCUGUGGUUUAGUGACCCACACAGUCCAGUUCUGCAAUAGCCUUGCUUCUGGCGUUCUAACCUCCUUCCCAGCAGGGAAUGACUAAUGCUCAGAGCCACGCAUCACACCAGCGUUUACCAGGCAGAGCAAAUAAAUGGUCAUCUGAGACAUGCUUUCAGACAGAGAUCUCUGUUCUUGGCAUGAAGGUUAAGGUUAGUGAAAAAAAGUCCCACCUCUGCCCCUUUCUGCUCAAUUCCGCCCCUUUAUCUUCCCAAGGACGUGAUGAGAAAGAUUUUUAAAGUGAUCGCAGUAGUUUAUCUUCAUGACAUGGGCAGACUUCCAUGAGUCCUGUGACUCAGUGACACUCCGAGGGACCCAUGACUGUGGGGUGGGCUUGGAACAAACUCACUGUUGGCAGAAGCUGUUCACUGCCCCUAUUUUUUGCCCUGGCAAAAAUAGAUUUCAAUGGCAACUUAGGAAGGGGCCGCGGUGGGGAAGAGGUUGUGGUAAGAGAACGUUCUCUCACGUUCUCCAAAUCUUCCAAACCAAGCUUUGCUCCAUGGGACCACUUCACCCAGAAGUCUGGGCAGGAGCUCAGGCUCUGACAUUGUCACGGCUGCCAGCUUGAUGGAUGGGAGGAGGUGGGGAGCUGGGUUUCCAGCCAGGAACUAAGGGAAUUCUACGCUUCUAGAGUCCCUUGUACUUACUGGGAUGGUGUUCAUGGCUUCUGCCCACUGAGCCUGCCAAAACUCAUUUUGUCACAGCCAAGCCCAAUCACUCCCCAUUCCCUGCUCCAAAAAAGAAGAAACCUUGCUGCAGCUUCAUAGACACUUGGUCAAUCUGCAAUAAUUAAAAAAUAGAGGCAGUGGGGCAUGGGGAGAGGGAAAGAAAAGAGGCUGGGGGCUGGUGAUGGGACAAGCUGAGUUUGGAGUUGCAGAGUGGGAAACUACAGGAUGCUGGGAAUACACAGGGGAGGAAGCCUCCUUAAAGCAGGCUUCGGAUGUGUGUAUGGAUCCUCUUUGGGUUUUGGGAUAAUUAGUGAAAGAUGAGAGUUAUCUUGAAAUUCCUUUUGUUUGCAGGACUGCAUGUUUGGCUGCUCUGUGGGGGUCCAGGCUGUGUAAAGGUCACACGUGUAAGUGGAUUAUGGGCUCACUCAUCUCCACAGGGCAAGUUGGAGAAGUUUUUCUUGACUCACUGGAAACAGAAGUAAAAGGCUGAGGAAGGCAUUGUGGGGCGGGUGUAUCGCACAGGCAAUGGUGAAAAGUGGAGGUGAUGUGGUAGGGAGGAAGGCAUCCGUGUUUGCUAUUGACUUUCUAUUUCUUCCGCCAGGGAGCCUGGCGUCCAGGUCGCCUGUUGCCUGGCAGUGGAGCAGUCACUUCACAUCACUGUGUCUCACAGUUGUCUCUGCUGUUGGCAGCUGGAUGUGGGAGGGAACAGUGAAGAGACUACUAAAGUUUAAUGUCCUUUUUAUGACCAACUUUUGUUGCUGGCACCUUCCUCUUGGAAAAAGACACUGAUUUAUGACUGAACAAUCCCUACACACAGAAAUCUAAUCGUUCUUUCUGUCUCUUAGCUUAUUUUUGUUUAGAGGAGCGGAUGGCUUCCAUAGGCUGUUCAGAAAAUGGCUGGGACAAAUCGGAGUAAAAAAACUUAAAGUUUUUAUUUCUGUCUCUUUCUCCUCACAGAGGAGUUUGAAAUUCUUGCUUCAGGCCAUAUGGAGUGGAUAUUCCUUCCAGAAGGAAAUUACAGACCACUCUCUGUUUCUACUCAACUGCUUUUCAAUCCAGGAUGCUUCACCUCCUGGGGCCUUCCCAGCGGAGUCCCAGGAUGACCCGCAAAAGGCUUCCCCAAGGGUGGGGCCGGAAGCAGGGCUGUAGGUAUGUGUCCUGAACCUCCCACAGACCCUGCUGGCUCCCUUCAAAGGCUUCCGGCAUAGCGACUUGCCUUUCCAUUGUGUUCAGUCGUCACCAAUCAGCCGUCUGCAGACUCCUCUCCCUCAUGUUGUGGCAGAGGAGUUGUACAUUCUCUAGAUUUUAAAAAUAUAUAGGUUACUUGUUCUUUAAAAAAAUUGUCUCUGAAAUAA